rnacentral:rRNA from 1 species
UACAACUUGGUGUUAAUGCACUGGAUCCCAUUAGAACUUCACACUUAAGCACACUUAGGCUAUAGUAGUACUAGGAUGGGUGACCGCCUAGGAAGUCCUAGUGUUUUAC